rnacentral:rRNA from 1 species
CCUACGGGGGGCUGCAGUGGGGAAUAUUGGACAAUGGGGGGAACCCUGAUCCAGUCAUGCCGCGUGUGUGAAGAAGGCCCUCGGGUUGUAAAGCACUUUCAGUGAGGAAGAACGCCUGGUGGUUAAUACCCAUCAGGAAAGACAUCACUCACAGAAGAAGCACCGGCUAACUCCGUGCCAGCAGCCGCGGUAAUACGGAGGGUGCGAGCGUUAAUCGGAAUUACUGGGCGUAAAGCGCGCGUAGGUGGCUUGAUAAGCCGGUUGUGAAAGCCCCGGGCUCAACCUGGGAACGGCAUCCGGAACUGUCAAGCUAGAGUGCAGGAGAGGAAGGUAGAAUUCGCGGUGUAGCGGUGAAAUGCGUAGAGAUCGGGAGGAAUACCAGUGGCGAAGGCGGCCUUCUGGACUGACACUGACACUGAGGUGCGAAAGCGUGGGUAGCAAACAGGAUUAGAUACCCUGGUAGUC